rnacentral:misc_RNA from 1 species
GAGAGAGAGAGAGAGAGAGCAGGAAAUAAAGAAAUUCUUGUUAGGUUGAAACUUGUGGAGAAGCUCUAUAAUUCAGGGAUGUGGAAAAUUUCCAUAUGCUUCUCAUUAGUUCCCCUUCCUUUAUCAGUUUCCCCAUUAAAAGCAACUUAUCAUAAGAGUUAUAAGAGUUUUAACCAAAGUGUAUCCCUUCUAACACUAUGGUUUGAAAGGCAAGAUUUACAAACAAAAUGAUGUUGAGAUCCUUGAUGAAUGCUAGCUUAAGAGCUUGGUUAUGAUACGGUACGCAUUUGAAUUUGGCAGUGUUCUUUCAGGAUUUAGCAUCUAUUUGAUGCAUGAUUAUGUGAAUUUCCUUUAAAAAAGAAUAUUGACAGCCAUCUACAUUGGUUAAAUUCAAGGCUGUGCAAUAUAAUGGUUUUAAUCAGUAAACUAACAUCAUACUUUAGGGACUUAUAUGUCAUUCUUGUGUUCUAAAAUUUUGAUGUUUGUUCCUUUGAAUGAAAAAUUGGCUUGCUACAAGCAUUUGCAAGUCUUUAGCAGAUGCUAAAAUUUUGCAGAACCAGAAUCAUUCAAAACCGUGGUUGACUUGAACCCUGGAACCGGCUGGUUCAGUCCUGAGCCAAAACUGGAUUUUUUUUCAUUAAAAAAAAAAUUGGACCAUUGGAUUUGAUCAAAACCAGAUCAAACUGGGUUGAACCAGAAUCGAAAUUGUGGGAGGACCUUAGGGACCCUUUCAGGUUCAUACCUCCAGUGAACACGGACCGCCAGUUCUGGGCCAAUUUCGGCUGUGGCCAGGCCUAAGUGCUUCUGUUUUGAUGUCAUUUAGAUACAGUUAAUUAAAGUGCUUUGUGGUCAUAAAGCUUUUGAACCGUGGUCUAUUAAUCAAUGCAUAACUGAUCAAACUUAUUUCAGCAUUCCUUGAGGUUUCAUGAAUUGCUUUUUAUGGACUCUUGUUACUGAUGAUGAAUAACCUUUAUUGUGGUGCUUCCAAGACAAAUUAGCUUAUGAAUACAGAAGAAAACAAAGAAGAAAAGAAAUAGGUUGUUCUUUAUAUUCAUGUGGUCUAUAUUGCCUGAUUCUUAUACCACCUAUAUUUUGCUGUUAUUAAAUAAAACAGAGAUUGGGCUAGGAUUGACAGGAU